GAUGAACGCUAGCGGCAGGCCUAAUACAUGCAAGUCAAGGGGAUAGCAAUAUCACCGGCGGACGGGUGCGUAACGCGUACACAACGUGCCCAAGGGCGGAGGAAAGCGGCGGGAAACUGCCGGUAAUACUCCAUGGUGUUGUUGAGUGGCAUCACUUAACAACUAAAGUACAAGCGCCCUUGGAUCGGUGUGCGUUCGAUUAGCUAGUUGGCGGGGUAACGGCCCACCAAGGCUCCGAUCGAUAGGGGGUGUGAGAGCAUGACCCCCCACACGGGUACUGAGACACGGACCCGACUCCUACGGGAGGCAGCAGUAAGGAAUAUUGGACAAUGGGCGAAAGCCUGAUCCAGCCAUGCCGCGUGAAGGACGAAGGCGCUCAGCGUUGUAAACUUCUUUUGGAUGGGAACAAUAACUCCGACUUGUCGGAACUUGAGGGUACCAUCAGAAUAAGCACCGGCUAACUCCGUGCCAGCAGCCGCGGUAAACUGUCUACG
rnacentral:rRNA from 1 species